AACAGACCAAUGGAGCGGGGACGUCCAGGGAGGAAGGCGGGGUGGGGGCGGUGGCCAAUGGGCCCACGGCGUGGGCGGGCCGAGGCGCUCCGGAAGCGGGCAGGGGAAAGUGGUGGCCGGCUCGAAGUGGGAGUACGGCGACCUGGGCGGAAAGCGGGACCUGGCGGGUGGGUACUCAGCCGGGCCGGGCCCUCGGAGCUGCAACUGGACUACGUCAAGAAGGUCAACUGCCACGAUUUCUCCAUGGUCGCCCUUUUUUCUGCGGCCACAGUACAGGACAGAUGGAAAGGAUCCAGAGUGCUCUGUGAAUAUGAGAUGCACUAUAUUUUCCAGAAAUUCCUGACUUUAUUGCGGAUGGAAUUUUGGUUUUUUCACCAGUUUUGCUGUGUACUGUGUGCUAAAAGCAAUGACCGCCACAGGAUCCUGUUUUGGAAUCUGCAUGGAGCUGGUGAGUGGAGAGCUAACGGUGCUUUUGAAGAGGGGGUUUUGUGGAAGAGGUUGGUGUUGAUGGGUGCGAUGCUGGCUGCUGACACUGUUUUGUGCACUGUGUGUUUUUGUUGCAGAUGGUGACUAGGACCCCGGUGACUACAGGAACGUCCCAGCUAGCGGAUGGGGGUCGGUGGUUUUGUGUUGAGGACAGAUGCAGGCCCCUAGCCCUGUGAAAGCUAAGUGGAGGGACCAGGGCUGGGGAGGGAUUGGGAGGAGGAGGGGACAACUUGGCAAUUGUAGGAGGGGUUUUGAAGUUGUGUGGUAUUAGAAAGAACAUGUGCCUGGUGGCUCUGAGUAUACAUGGCAGCUCAGUGAAGUGUUUCUGGUUUUGCAGGCUGUGUGGGCUGCCUUUUGAAAUGGGUGAGUGUUUGAGGUGAGCUGGGUAAUGGAGAGGAGGCACACUGGGCUGGUGAUUUCUUGCACAUUCAAUGGUAUUUUUGUGUCUCUUGGUUUCUUAGGUACCACAAACAGAUUGGCUCUGGAAUCCAUGCAGAGAUUUCUGCCUGGCUUUCAGGGGCACGUUUCCCUGGCAGUCUGGUAGCAUCUCUCUGGUGCAGUGCUGCCAGCCAGAUGUCCCUCUCCCUUGGGUAGGACAGGAAAAAGCCCCCGGUCAAAUGAUGACUGGGCGUUUUGGAGACGGAGAGCACAAUGGUGUCAGUUCAGAGCUGGGCCAGUUAAAUUAGUGCCAAAGGAAAGUCAAACACUUUUAUAGUGUAUUUUUAUUGACUGUAUCUAAACGUACACAGAGCUUUCCAGGGAAAGGGAAGGGAGGAGGCGCUUCCCCCCCACCGGGCAGAGGGGUUUGUUACACUGUUGGGCUGAGAAGGUGUUCCAAGUGGCAUCAGUCAGUCUUAAUAGGGACUUGAAGCGUCGGGAGGGCUCUGGCUUUGGCAGGCUGUGCCGUCUUUGAAGCUGAGCUGUUUCCCCAGAAUCAUCCUGUAGCUCAGCUUCUGUCCUGUCCCUCAGUCUGAGGGAAUUCCUCUACUCUCUCCUCUGUGCUGUUUUGUUUGAUGCUGAACUACAGUUGGGGAUUGUUGUUUUGCAGGUGCUUCGUUGUCCACGUCUCAUGCUGCUUGAUAGCUGCCCCAGCCUGGGUUUGCAGCCAGUGGUGGGCCUGAGGGGAAGGGACCAGCCCUGGGUCUGGGCAUUUGGUGCUGUCUUUUUGCGGUGAAUAAAAAGGUGGGGGGAGGGUAUUUGGAGAGUGAU
rnacentral:lncRNA from 1 species